UCUUCCACAAUGGGCGAAAGCCUGAUGGAGCAACGCCGCGUGAAGGAAGAAGGCUUUCGGGUUGUAAACUUCUUUUCUCAGGGACGAAGCAAGUGACGGUACCUGAGGAAUAAGCCACGGCUAACUACGUGCCAGCAGCCGCGGUAAUACGUAGGUGGCAAGCGUUAUCCGGAUUUACUGGGUGUAAAGGGCGUGUAGGCGGGAAAGCAAGUCAGAUGUGAAAACCAUGGGCUCAACCUGUGGCCUGCAUUUGAAACUGUUUUUCUUGAGUACUGGAGAGGCAGACGGAAUUCCUAGUGUAGCGGUGAAAUGCGUAGAUAUUAGGAGGAACACCAGUGGCGAAGGCGGUCUGCUGGACAGCAACUGACGCUGAGGCGCGAAAGCGUGGGGAGCAAACAGG
rnacentral:rRNA from 1 species